GCUCAGCUACGUCAAUUAAAGACCUUUGAGGUUUGCUGAUUUGCCCGUUUCAGCUGCUUUCAGCUGCUUUCAGCCUGUUUCAGCUCGGCUACGUUGUUUAAAGACCUUUGAGGCUUGCUAAUCUGCCAGUUUCAGCACGUUUCAGCUCGUUUCAGCCCGUUUCAGCCCAUUUCAGCCCGUUUCAGCUCAGCUACGUCAAUUAAAGACCUUUGAGGUUUGCUGAUUUGCCCGUUUCAGCUGCUUUCAGCUGCUUUCAACCUGUUUCAGCUCGGCUACGUUGUUUAAAGACCUUUGAGGCUUGCUAAUCUGCCAGGUUCAGCUGCUUUCAGUCGGUUUCAGCUGGUUUUCAGUAAGUGUUAGCUGGUUUCAGCCCGUUCAGCCUGUUUCAGCCAGUUUUAGCUGGUUUCAGCUGGUUUCAGUUGGCUUCAGCCCGUUUCAGCCCGGCUACGGUUGUAGACAUUUGCAUCUGACACUAGAUUCUGAUGUUGUCAUAUAGUUUCCUAAAUCAAACCCUUAAUGAUGUGGUGGCAGGAAUUCAUGGUUUUAUUGCUAGCGUCAUAAUGAACAUGGAGCGGUUUGAUGCCUCCAGCACUGGAUGAGCCACUUUGCUGAACACGGUUUCUUCAACCUUGGUUCCCGUCGCUCCGCGUUGCUCUGUCGUGCAGGUCCGUAGCAUCCUUGGAGUCGUGCUGUGGCAUCGCAUCCAUUCUUCCACGUGUUUCUUUGCCGUAUUUAGUUUAUUUAGGCUCUGGGUGCGUGCAAUGACAGGACGUGAUGCUUCUUCAUUUCACACUUUGUCUCAAGGUUGUUUUUCUUUUCCGUGGGACUCCAUCAAGGCCCUUUUCCACCAUCCAUCCAUUCCUGAACUCAGCCGCAUUUCUUCCUAUCAGACCUUUUUCAAUUUCUUCCAGGCGACUGUUUUGACAGCAGGUUUGACGCGUGUCCUGUCAUCCUGGAAAGUUGCAGGUUUAGUUCCUGCUUCAGUUGAAAUGUCUUUGAAUUCUGUUCCCUGUUUUCGUUAUACUCCUGCUCCUCUGUGAGCAUUUGAUGAUGUUUAAAGGUCACCAGCGGCAUUUCAAUCUUCUGAGUUACUUUAACACAACGCUGCUAGUUUCCUGAUUGAAGGUCUGCUCUAAACCAAAACACGCUUUAAGGGGAGGGGAUAAAGAAAACGUCUGCAGGCAUCUUUGGGCCCUUACAGUGAUGCAAUCCAAUCCCCAGCUGGUUGAGGCAGAUGGCCACUGACCUGAUCUGGUUCUGCAGGAGGAUGGUUGGCUAAAACUCUGGAAUAAAAGUUAUCAGUCGGUUAGAUUUUUGUCUGACAUUUGGCAGGUUUACAUUCCUCAUAUUUUCCGUAUUUUCCAUUUGAAACAAUGACAAACAAAGGAAGACCAGACGAUUAUGAAUUCAGCUUCAGCCCCUCUGGACUUUGUUUCCUUCAGCCAUCCUUGUCUUUGUGCCUGCGUUUGGGGGCUGAUGGUUCUGGCUCCACGUUGACCUCUGACCUCUUCUCCUGAGGCUCUGCUUUGUGUUAUUCUGCAAAAGAAACAGAAAGAACAACAGACACUGAUGUGCACAGGCUGCAUACAAAGCAGCUCAGGGUACAAAAUAUAAUUGUUAGGUGUCCUUGAAAGAGAAACGACUAUUUAUCAUGUUCACACUUUGUAUUAGAGCAGUGCAAGACAGGAUUUAGAAAUAGUUUCAUAUCUUUAGCAGAGAAUGGGGAGGGUGUGUUUGACUGUGUGUGUGUGUCCGAAGUAGCUCGACUUAAAGCUCCAUAACCUUUUCUGUGAGAAGAGUCAGUUGAUCCGCAGUAAACCAUGAGGGCAACUCUCUUGACUUUAUAAACCUCAAAACAGAAUUCGUUCUUUUCUUUCAGAAACACACAGAGUUCAGCCAUGAAAAACGAAAGGCAGAUUCAAACAGCUUCACCGUGACAUCAAGAUUUAACAUUCAAGUAUUUACAGCUGCAUUCACUUCAAAACAAAACUGAGCAAUAAUAUGUAUUCACCACCUUUUGCAACCUUCAAAAAGAACUUUAAGUCUUCCAUCACAUGAACCUAGAAGCUCAAGGAGUCUGCGUUUUUCUGAAACAUUCAAGCCUCCCGAGCUGUAAGUUCUCCCUAAAACCGCAGUAUGUGACCAACAACAUGAGCUCGACCUCGUGCUCAACAGCACCGUGCAGAUUUGUUAUGGAGACUUGUUUGGAGCAUUUUACCUCCAAUGUCUCUGAGUGCAGCUGAACAUCGUAGAUUUAAGUGCUGAGAAUGAAUCGUGGGCUCUCAAUGACUUGCACCUCCUUUAAAUUAGCAGCACUAUUUACAGAGCGGUGAAGCAUCAGGGCCAAGAUCUUUACCCUCUGCACCUUAAGCAUCUGUCAGGGCUGCAGGCUGCGCCAGCAAACGCUCCAAACAUCACCUGUCACAUUUCCUCUCUCCCUCCUUAAUAUUAACCUAAGCUAAAAUUACAUACAGCGUGUGCCUCCAAGCCUGGUGUAACCUGGCUUUGAUGCAACACUUUGUGACCCACUUCCCAGAUCAAUGACAUCUGGAGGAGGAGGCGAUGGCAGGAGGGAGGGGAAGGAGGGAGGUAAGGUCACAGGGAGGUACUGAUGAUGUCUAACAAACGCGCCCAGCGGGGGGUAACCUCUGGAUCAGGUAGCGUGGAGGAGGUGCUAAACGAGGACAGUGUCCAACUGUGUGUUUCAUUAUGAACAGAUGCCGCCGCAAUGGGAGGGAGGAGAAAGACAGGGCAGCACGAGAGGAGGAGGGAUUAAGGGAGGAAGGAAGGAAGGAGCUAAAAGAGGAGCAAGUAGGAGACGGUGGACGGGAUGAGUAAAAAGCAGAGAGGAAGAAGGAAGGAAAGGAGGAAGCUUCGUCAUCCUGCAGCGUUGCCUGCGACUCCGUGUUGUGUUCGAGGUCCUGUGUUAAAAGGCAUGAGUUGUAGCGUAGCUGGAGACGUAGCAGCCCCGAGGGGGAGGAUGCGUUCACGAACACGGGGUGGGCGGCGUGGAGCAGCCGAUACAGGACUGGUCCUGGAGCGCCGGCUGCCACAUCCUUCCUGCCUCGCAGACACAAUAAGCAGCAGGUGGAGCGUCGUCGAGCGCCCAGCCGGAGAGGGGGGCCGGACAAAACAGACUGCCUUAAAACUAAAGACACAAAGAGCAUCUAAAGCUUCGUUUUUGCCUCCGCCUCCGAUUUACAAAAAGAAACCACAUUAAGUCAUCGAGCCUUUUCCUCCUGCUGCAGUUCUAAGGAGUUUUCUCUUCGCUUCCCUUCUUGCCUGUGGUCGUGAACUGCUUUUUUAUUUUUGCUCCAUGUUUCACAUUCUUGGUUGAAGUUCCAUCAAGGAGAAGUUGAGAGACGUGUCUGAGGAAACAUGGAUUUGCUGCUUGUUCUCCUGUUACGCAUUCGCCCUUUUCCACAGGUGGAUUUGUACUUUUUGACGACGCUGCACUGUUUCUGUGUGGAUGUAAGCGAAGCCGAAGUGGACUCGUGUUGAUUUGCUGGAUUAUCAGCUCUCCACUCGUCUUGGCUCUUUGCUCUCGUUGCUCAUUUUCCAGCUGUUGUUUGUAUGAGAACUGUAGUUUCACGUUGUUUCCCAGAGUCGCUGGGUCAAUUAAUCCCUUUUUCGAACACGUAACUGUAACUUUGGUUGUUUGUAGCCCCGGUGCCUGUAGUGACUGACAGUCAGGGUUCGGAGGACAGGGUGCAUGGCAGGUAAUCAGCUCAGCCUCCCCGGGUGGACAGAACCCAGGAGGCAGCGUUACCGAGUCCAGUUAGCACAAAGACGAGACGCACGAGCAAAGCCGACGAGCAGCCACUUAAGCUAAACAUCUGGACUCACAGAGGAAAUUUAGUUCAGAGUUCGAUGAUUAGGAGAAGUCGUUUCUGCACAGAUGUGACCAACGUCUCCACCAGAUGUCAUGUUUUACUGUAAACCUUGUGACUGUGGACAGACAUGAGCACAAACUGCAACGUGGAGGUCUGUGGCUGCAGCGAGUCUCUGCUUCUGGUCUUUGUUCUACAAACAUCAACGACUGUUCUCAUUUAGUUCUAGUUCGUUCCUUAUUAGAACAUUUCAACGAUGUGAUUAUGAUGACAAGCACGAACGUCGUCUAUCUAUCUGUCUUUCUGCCUGUCUAUCCAUCCAUUCAUGCAUCCAUCCGUCUGUCCAUCAUCCAUUCAUCCAUCCAUCUCUGCUGCUCCACAUUUGAACCAAAUCAGCUUCUGUCUUCUUUUUCCUUCUUCUUAGCCAACGUUUGUACAAACCUACUUGUUUUCUGUGGCGUUCACUGUCAGUGGAUCCAGUUAAGUUCUCAAUGGAGCUGCCAAUCACAUUUCUAAAGACUGUCAGUCAGAUCUCCACGUUCUCGUAUCUUCCAGUACGUAAACCUGUGUAGGACUGGUUGAUUAGUACGACAGCUUAGUAGCAGCCGAAGGCCUGGAUUGUUCGUGUGUAAGUACAACAGUGUUUAUUCUGAACUAUAACAGUACGUUGAUGGGAUGUAAAGUUGUAAAACGGUGUUUGAGUUUGAAUAUUUGUAGUCACCACUGGUUUUCUGUAGGAAUCAAACAGAGCAGCUCAGUGGCCUCCUGCUGUACCUGUGAAUGUACUUUGUAUUCAGAGGUUUUUAUUACAAUAAACAAGUGCUGAUAUCAGA